AGAGUUUGAUCAUGGCUCAGGAUGAACGCUGGCGGCGUGCUUAACACAUGCAAGUCGAACGAGGUCCAACCUUCGGGUGAAGACCGAGUGGCGAACGGGUGAGUAACACGUGGGGAACCUGCCCUUCUCUCUGGGAUAACCUCGGGAAACCGAAGCUAAUACCGGAUACUCCUUGCGGACCGCAUGGUCUGCUCGGGAAAGCUCCGGCGGAGAAGGAUGGCCCCGCGGCCCAUUAGCUUGUUGGUGGGGUAACGGCCCACCAAGGCGACGAUGGGUAGCCGAGCUGAGAGGCUGAUCGGCCACACUGGGACUGAGACACGGCCCAGACUCCUACGGGAGGCAGCAGUGGGGAAUCUUGCGCAACGGGCGAAAGCCUGACGCAGCAACGCCGCGUGCGGGAUGAAGGCUCUCGGGUCGUAAACCGCUUUCAGCAGGGAUGAAAAUGACAGUACCUGCAGAAGAAGCCCCGGCUAAAUACGUGCCAGCAGCCGCGGUAAUACGUAUGGGGCAAGCGUUAUCCGGAUUCAUUGGGCGUAAAGCGCGCGUAGGCGGCUUGUUAAGUCAGGCGUGAAAUCCGGGGGCUCAACCCGCGGCUUGCGUCUGAAACUGGCAGGCUUGAGUCUGGUAGAGGAAAGUGGAAUUCCUGGUGUAGCGGUGAAAUGCGCAGAUAUCAGGAGGAACACCAGUGGCGAAGGCGGCUUUCUGGGCCACGACUGACGCUGAGGUGCGAAAGCUAGGGGAGCGAACAGGAUUAGAUACCCUGGUAGUC
rnacentral:rRNA from 1 species